rnacentral:rRNA from 1 species
GAUGAACGCUAGCGGCAGGCUUAACACAUGCAAGUCGAGGGGUAUAGUUCUUCGGAACUAGAGACCGGCGCACGGGUGCGUAACGCGUAUGCAAUCUACCUUUUACAGGGGGAUAGCCCAGAGAAAUUUGGAUUAAUACCCCAUAGUAUGUUAGAGUGGCAUCAUUUUAACAUUAAAGUUCCAACGGUAAAAGAUGAGCAUGCGUCCCAUUAGCUAGAUGGUAAGGUAACGGCUUACCAUGGUGACGAUGGGUAGGGGUCCUGAGAGGGGGAUGCCCCACACUGGUACUGAGACACGGACCAGACUCCUACGGGAGGCAGCAGUCAGGAAUAUUGGACAAUGGGCGCAAGCCUGAUCCAGCCAUGCCGCGUGCAGGAAGACGGUCCUAUGGAUUGUAAACUGCUUUUGUACAGGAAGAAACACUCCCUCGUGGGGGAGCUUGACGGUACUGUAAGAAUAAGGAUCGGCUAACUCCGUGCCAGCCGCCGCGGUAAGAC